rnacentral:rRNA from 1 species
CCUACGGGUGGCAGCAGUGAGGAAUAUUGGUCAAUGGGCGGGAGCCUGAACCAGCCAAGUCGCGUGAAGGAAGAAUGUACUUAGUCUUGUAAACUUCUUUUGUCGGGGAACAAAGGCGGAGACGCGUCUCCGGAUGAGUGUACCCGAAGAAAAAGCAUCGGCUAACUCCGUGCCAGCAGCCGCGGUAAUACGGAGGAUGCGAGCGUUAUCCGGAUUUCUUGGGUUUAAAGGGUGCGCAGGCGGGCGAUCAAGUCAGCGUUAAAAUGUUGGGGCUCAACCCCGGCCGGCCGUUGAAACUGGUUUUCUUGAGUUGGAGAGAAGUAGGCGGAAUUCGUGGUGUAGCGGUGAAAUGCAUAGAUAUCACGAAGAACUCCGAUUGCGAAGGCAGCAUACCGGCUCCAUACUGACGCUGAGGCACGAAAGCGUGGGGAUCGAACAGGAUUAGAUACCCCAGUAGUC